rnacentral:rRNA from 1 species
UGGGGAAUAUUGCACAAUGGGCGCAAGCCUGAUGCAGCCAUGCCGCGUGUAUGAAGAAGGCCUUCGGGUUGUAAAGUACUUUCAGCGGGGAGGAAGGGAGUAAAGUUAAUACCUUUGCUCAUUGACGUUACCCGCAGAAGAAGCACCGGCUAACUCCGUGCCAGCAGCCGCGGUAAUACGGAGGGUGCAAGCGUUAAUCGGAAUUACUGGGCGUAAAGCGCACGCAGGCGGUUUGUUAAGUCAGAUGUGAAAUCCCCGGGCUCAACCUGGGAACUGCAUUCGAAACUGGCAGGCUAGAGGCUUGUAGAGGGGGGUAGAAUUCCAGGUGUAGCGGUGAAAUGCGUAGAGAUCUGGAGGAAUACCGGGGGCGAAGGCGGCCCCCUGGACAAAGACUGACGCUCAGGUGCGAAAGCGUGGGGAGCAAACAGG